rnacentral:rRNA from 1 species
UACGAAGGGGGCUAGCGUUGCUCGGAAUUACUGGGCGUAAAGCGCACGUAGGCGGCUUUCUAAGUCGGGGGUGAAAUCCUGGAGCUCAACUCCAGAACUGCCUUCGAUACUGGAGAGCUCGAGUCCGGGAGAGGUGAGUGGAACUGCGAGUGUAGAGGUGAAAUUCGUAGAUAUCGGGAGGAACACCGGUGGCGAAGGCGGCGACCUGGGUCGAUACUGACGCUGAGGUGCGAAAGCGUGGGGAGCAAACAGG